ensembl:lncRNA
AAUGUCGUAAAAUAUCUAGGAGUAGUUUGUUACAGCGUAAAACAUGUCACUUCCUGUUGCCAGCAGGUGGCGCUAUAGCGAUAUCUGAAUAUUGGCAUGUAGAUAUAUUCAGGUCAGGAGUCUUCUCAAACAUGUGAAGUUUGGGGCAGAUUGGACAUUGUAUGUCUGAGUUAUAGCAACUUCCUUUCUCAUGGCGAAACAUCGAAAUUUGUAAGGCCGCCACAGACACGCCCUUAAACGAAACCUCAAGAUCUUCGCAAUUUAACAUCGCAAAGGCCUUUAGAUUACACAGACAAAGUUUGGUGUUGAUCUGAAUAAAUCUCUAGGAGGAGUUCGUUAAAGUACAACCCCUGAAAAUGGCAAAAACGACACAAAUUUUGCAGAGAAAAUUCAAAAUAACUGACUUCCUGUUGGGAUUCGAAUUUCGAACAAAGAGACUUUUUUGUAGGUAUUGGUGUGUUACAUGUGUGUACCGAUUUUUGUACAUGUACGUGAAACGUAGCUCGAGGCGCACUCCGUUGAAAAUGUAUAGGUGGCGCUAUCGAGGCAUUUU